CCUACGGGUGGCUGCAGUGGGGAAUAUUGCACAAUGGGGGAAACCCUGACGCAGCGACGCCGCGUGAGUGAAGCAGUAAUUCUUUAUGUAAAGCUCUAUCAGCAGGGAAGAAAAUGACUGUACCUGAGUAAGAAUCCCCGUCUAACUACGUGCCAGCAGCCGCGGUACUACGUAGGGGGCCAGCGUUAUCCGGAUUUACUGGGUGUAAAGGGGGCGUAGACGGCAGUGCAAGUCUGGAGUGAAAGGCAUGGGCUCACCCCCCGGACUGCUCUGGAUACUGUACGGCUGGAGUGCAGGUGAGGUAAGUGGAAUAACUAAAGUAGCGGUGAAAUGCGUAGAUAUUAGGAGGAACACCAGUGGCGAAGGCAGCUUACUGGACUGUAACUGACGUUGAGGCUCGAAAGCAUGGGGAGCAAACAGGAUUAGAUACCCCAGUAGUC
rnacentral:rRNA from 1 species